rnacentral:tRNA from 1 species
GCCGGUAUAGCUCAGUCGGUUAGAGCAGCGGAAUCAUAAUCCGCGUGUCGGGAGUUCGAGUCUCUCUACCGGCA